AGCUAAUCCAGGGAGAGAUCAAUGCAGAGGUGGAGGCCCAGAAGGUAACUUGGAGAUUGCUUUGGAAGUCUGAACCAGCUAGAUUAUCAUUAUUUUUUUUAUCCAGUCAGUGUACAAUGUUCUCCCAAGCCCAUCCAACCUGCAUAACUAGGGACUGGCAGAGACUCCUGGGAGCUUUGGAUCAAAAGUGGAGACCCGUGGUGUAGUGUGCUGCUUGGACACAAACUGGAGACUGAUCACCCCCGGUUGGGUCGCCCAGACAGUCCAAGAAAACUGGACGCUUGCAUUUACAGAGGAGCUGUCCAAGGUAGGUUUGUGCGCAUGAACAUCUCAUCUGGACCCCAGUGUGCCAUUGCAUGACUUAUGAUAAAGCUUGUUUGUUUGGUCAGUGAUGCUUCAACUAAGAAUAGAUGUGGCCCAACAAAGACAGCAGAGGAACGGAACUGCAUUGACA
ensembl:lncRNA